GACGAACGCUGGCGGCGUGCUUAACACAUGCAAGUCGAACGAAGAGCGAUGGAAGCUUGCUUCUAUCAAUCUUAGUGGCGAACGGGUGAGUAACGCGUAAUCAACCUGCCCUUCAGAGGGGGACAACAGUUGGAAACGACUGCUAAUACCGCAUACGAUCCAAUCUCGGCAUCGGGACUGGAUGAAAGGUGGCCUCUAUUUAUAAGCUAUCACUGAAGGAGGGGAUUGCGUCUGAUUAGCUAGUUGGAGGGGUAACGGCCCACCAAGGCGAUGAUCAGUAGCCGGUCUGAGAGGAUGAGCGGCCACAUUGGGACUGAGACACGGCCCAGACUCCUACGGGAGGCAGCAGUGGGGAAUCUUCCGCAAUGGACGAAAGUCUGACGGAGCAACGCCGCGUGAGUGAUGACGGCCUUCGGGUUGUAAAGCUCUGUUAAUCGGGACGAAUGGUUCUUGUGCGAAUAGUGCGAGGAUUUGACGGUACCGGAAUAGAAAGCCACGGCUAACUACGUG
rnacentral:rRNA from 1 species